rnacentral:rRNA from 1 species
AGUUUAUACCGUAGCUUGCUACACCAUAGACUGUGAGUUGCGAACGGGUGAGUAACGCGUAGGUAACCUGCCUGGUAGCGGGGGAUAACUAUUGGAAACGAUAGCUAAUACCGCAUAAUAUUAAUUAUUGCAUGAUAAUUGAUUGAAAGGUGCAAUUGCACCACUACCAGAUGGACCUGCGUUGUAUUAGCUAGUAGGUGAGGUAACGGCUCACCUAGGCGACGAUACAUAGCCGACCUGAGAGGGUGAUCGGCCACACUGGGACUGAGACACGGCCCAGACUCCUACGGGAGGCAGCAGUAGGGAAUCUUCGGCAAUGGACGAAAGUCUGACCGAGCAACGCCGCGUGAGUGAAGAAGGUUUUCGGAUCGUAAAGCUCUGUUGUAAGAGAAGAACGGGUGUGAGAGUGGAAAGUUCACACUGUGACGGUAUCUUACCAGAAAGGGACGGCUAACUACGUGC